GUUGUCCCGGUUUAAGCGUGUAGGUGUGUGUUCCAGGUAAAUCCGGUUCACUUUAACACUGAGGCGUGACGACGAGGCACUACGGUGCUGAAGCAACAAAUGCCCUGCUUCCAGGAAAAGCCUCUAAGCAUCAGGUAACAUCAAAUCGUACCCCAAACCGACACAGGUGGUCAGGUAGAGAAUACCAAGGCGCUUGAGAGAACUCGGGUGAAGGAACUAGGCAAAAUGGUGCCGUAACUUCGGGAGAAGGCACGCUGACACGUAGGUGAAGUGAUUUACUCAUGGAGCUGAAGUCAGUCGAAGAUACCAGCUGGCUGCAACUGUUUAUUAAAAACACAGCACUGUGCAAACACGAAAGUGGACGUAUACGGUGUGACGCCUGCCCGGUGCCGGAAGGUUAAUUGAUGGGGUCAGCGCAAGCGAAGCUCCUGAUCGAAGCCCCGGUAAACGGCGGCCGUAACUAUAACGGUCCUAAGGUAGCGAAAUUCCUUGUCGGGUAAGUUCCGACCUGCACGAAUGGCGUAAUGAUGGCCAGGCUGUCUCCACCCGAGACUCAGUGAAAUUGAACUCGCUGUGAAGAUGCAGUGUACCCGCGGCAAGACGGAAAGACCCCGUGAACCUUUACUAUAGCUUGACACUGAACAUUGAGCCUUGAUGUGUAGGAUAGGUGGGAGGCUUUGAAGUGUGGACGCCAGUCUGCAUGGAGCCGACCUUGAAAUACCACCCUUUAAUGUUUGAUGUUCUAACGUGGACCCGUUACCCGGGUUGCGGACAGUGUCUGGUGGGUAGUUUGACUGGGGCGGUCUCCUCCUAAAGAGUAACGGAGGAGCACGAAGGUUGGCUAAUCCUGGUCGGACAUCAGGAGGUUAGUGCAAUGGCAUAAGCCAGCUUGACUGCGAGCGUGACGGCGCGAGCAGGUGCGAAAGCAGGUCAUAGUGAUCCGGUGGUUCUGAAUGGAAGGGCCAUCGCUCAACGGAUAAAAGGUACUCCGGGGAUAACAGGCUGAUACCGCCCAAGAGUUCAUAUCGACGGCGGUGUUUGGCACCUCGAUGUCGGCUCAUCACAUCCUGGGGCUGAAGUAGGUCCCAAGGGUAUGGCUGUUCGCCAUUUAAAGUGGUACGCGAGCUGGGUUUAGAACGUCGUGAGACAGUUCGGUCCCUAUCUGCCGUGGGCGCUGGAGAACUGAGGGGGGCUGCUCCUAGUACGAGAGGACCGGAGUGGACGCAUCACUGGUGUUCGGGUUGUCAUGCCAAUGGCACUGCCCGGUAGCUAAAUGCGGAAGAGAUAAGUGCUGAAAGCAUCUAAGCACGAAACUUGCCCCGA
rnacentral:rRNA from 3 species